CCCUUAGAUGUUCUGGGCCGCACGCGCGCUACACUGACGAAGUCAGCGAGCAUGUCCUACGCCGACAGGUGCGGGGAAUCUUGUCAAACUUCGUCGUGAUGGGGAUUGAUUAUUGAAAUUCUUGAUCAUCAACGAGGAAUUCCUAGUAAGCGCAAGUCAUCAACUUGCGUUGAUUACGUCCCUGCCCUUUGUACACACCGCCCGUCGCUACUGCCAACUGAGAUGGGUCCUGAAUUGUUAGGAACGCCCGUCAAGGGGCCUACCCGGUCCCUAGUGCGGUGACGAGAAUAACUGUAAAUGGCAUAUCUUGUAGGGAGUAAAAGUCGUAACA
rnacentral:rRNA from 1 species